UACGUAGGGUGCGAGCGUUGUCCGGAAUUAUUGGGCGUAAAGGGCUCGUAGGCGGUCUGUCGCGUCGGGAGUGAAAACUCAGGGCUUAACCCUGAGCCUGCUUCCGAUACGGGCAGACUAGAGGUAUGCAGGGGAGAACGGAAUUCCUGGUGUAGCGGUGAAAUGCGCAGAUAUCAGGAGGAACACCGGUGGCGAAGGCGGAUCUCUGGGCCUUACCUGACGCUCAGGUGCGAAAGCUAGGGGAGCGAACAGG
rnacentral:rRNA from 1 species